rnacentral:rRNA from 1 species
UACGGAGGGUGCAAGCGUUAAUCGGAAUUACUGGGCGUAAAGCGUGCGUAGGCGGUUCGUUAAGUCUGUUGUGAAAGCCCCGGGCUCAACCUGGGAAUGGCAAUGGAUACUGGCGAGCUAGAGUGUGUCAGAGGAUGGUGGAAUUCCCGGGUGUAGCGGUGGAAAUGCGUAGAGAUCGGGGAGGAACUCAGUGGCGAAGGCGGC